rnacentral:rRNA from 1 species
UGGGGAAUAUUGCGCAAUGGGCGAAAGCCUGACGCAGCGACGCCGCGUGAGGGAUGAAGGUUUUCGGAUCGUAAACCUCUGUCAGAAGGGAAGAAACCGCACUGUGCUAAUCAGCAGUGCCUUGACGGUACCUUCAAAGGAAGCACCGGCUAACUCCGUGCCAGCAGCCGCGGUAAUACGGAGGGUGCAAGCGUUAAUCGGAAUUACUGGGCGUAAAGCGCACGUAGGCUGCUUUGUAAGUCAGGGGUGAAAUCCCACGGCUCAACCGUGGAACUGCCUUUGAUACGGCUUAGCUUGAAUCCGGGAGAGGGUGGCGGAAUUCCAGGUGUAGGAGUGAAAGCCGUAGAUAGCUGGAGGAACAUCAGUGGCGAAGGCGGCCACCUGGAGCGGUAUUGACGCUGAGGUGCGAAAGCGUGGGGAGCAAACAGG